rnacentral:lncRNA from 1 species
GGCCGCUCGUUUGGACAUCUAUAGCCAAGUGUGAAUUUUAUGGUGGGCAAGCAAAAGGCGAAACACGAUAUCGAUGGAUUGAUGCAAGCUGAUUUGAAACCCCCUCGUUAAUCUGAAAGAAAGAAGACAUGCACGCUUACCUUCAACCGGAUCGGUCCUUGUCCUCGCUUGCUGAGCUUGCGCAGAUGCAGCUAGAAGCAGCAGCAGCAGCAGCAACGUCGGGAGCGCAGCAGAGCCAUGGCGGCACGAACUGCUGGGUCCAGGCCUCCUCAUCUCCUUCCCCUCUCUCUGGCCUCGAGGUCGGGGUUGGCUACCCCUUCCGAGGCCGAGCGGGAUAUAUGGUGACCUGAUGGAGACUCUUAUGGCGACUAGCUUGUCUCAGGGCCCCGCCGCCGCGGCAGACACGUACAGCUCCCUCGACGCUGCGCCACCAUGCAAGGACGGCGCAAUUAGGGAAUUUUCUAUGGUCAAGUGGCGCCACUGCUCUGUCGAACGCGACGGGCCAACAACUACCUCCAGGCUCCCACAUGGAAGCAGAGCCGAAGGCGAUCGACGACGACGGCUGACCGUGUUGUUCUGUGCGAGGAGACUUACAGCUUGGUGACGUGGCAGACGGUCGCCGCUGAUGUUCCAUGCCGACGCCGCCGUUUAGCACUUUCAUUAAAUAUUUUACAUAUAUUCAAUAAUGUGGUGAAAUUGUGUUUUCUAUGAAGGCCUGUGAACUUGAUAUUACAAAUAUUAUAUAAUUCCAUCAUAUGCGUUACACUAAAGAACCAGAAGCACAGGAAUUAAUGGGUGAUAUUGCUCCACCUCAAGUGCAGAGUGGGAGUGAACUUACAUGUUCUAAAAUAUAAACAAUAUAAACUCUUGUUACGCUGCUGGAGAGGAGGCAUCGCUGGAGUCGCACUUCGCCUUGUUGGACACGCAUCACCCCUCUACUCUGUAUGGGUCUCUUUUGCGCAUCUCCUGCUGGCUCCAGCUCCAUUACUGUAGCACACUAUAGUUUAUCGUAGUGCGAGCCGGAUCUGGAGUUGUGGGGAGCAAUUUUUUCUAGAUUCACCGGCUCCUCCUCCAUAACUGUAGUGCAAUGUAGCUAAUCGUAGCGCAUGUCAGAUAUGGAUUUUAACUCUUCAUUGCAGUACAACACAACAGUGAUACAAGUAGCGUGACAGAGGAGACAAGAGCCGUGAGGGAGCGGUGCCAAAGGGGUCAUACGGGUGGGGCAUACGGGUGGGGCAUCAAGCUAAGUGCACGAGAUUGUGCUCUGAGAAAAUCUUGCUGCUUCUUUUUUUAAUCAUAGAUCGGGUUGGCAUCGUCCUGUCGUUCUGUCAUAAAUCAUAUAUAUAUAGAUCCGGAUAGACCAAACCCUCCAACAUCAUCAUUUGGUCCUGGGCUCAAAAAUCAAACCCAAACUUGACCCGAAAAAGAAAAUCGAUCUAAGACGGGCGAAGCAACAAUCGAUCACAGCACAUAACCUAACACAAAAUACGUGCAAAAGCUGAAUAUAUAUCCUGAGAACGUUUGUGACGUGCAUUUACAGAAAACUGUCCGUCAACUUGCAAAUCACCGGCCUUCUUCUCGGAGCUGUUAGAGGUUUAGGCAUUUUACGGCAUAUUUUAAUUCCGAAUAUUUUUAAGUAAAUUAUGGUCAUUGUGAAUGAUACAGAGCGUGUGCAAGUGCUUUGUUUAAAUCACGUUUGAACGUAAACAGAACCAAAAGAAAGAACCAGAUAAGGUUCAGUAUGUACCCAGGGGCGGGAUCAUUGCCGAAGGCAAUGGGUGCGCCGUUCCAGAACUGGAUGCAUCAGACAUUGUGUCUAAAAUGUCGGUUCGGGCUGUUCGAUGUAGUUGAUCAAAGUUGAUGCAAUGUCGAGUUGGUGCAGAGCAGUCCCUUGAACAGCCUCCAGGAUGUAGCAUGACGCGCAGAAGAUGCGCUUCCCCAAAACUUGAUCGCCUGCCUACUCAUGCAAGUGUCGCAGCAGGACAAAGUUUUGGAGGCCUGCACGUAGAGGCUCGCGAUGGGAAUGUCAAGAUAGCAGCGGGCAACAGCAAAAAAAAAAAGGGAGAGACGUGUGCGCGGCUCGACGAGGCGAGCAAGCGCGCGCGUGGCACCCUUUCUCUCUUCCUCAACUUCUCAAUUAGUGCACACAUAGUCCACCUAUUUAAGUUGGUUAAGAUACUCUUAACUAUCCAGUGGAAUUAACCAUUUAACCAUCUAGCAUUACAUGUGGAUCCUGAGAUUAAAUGAAUUAAAUGGGCCUAACCUGAAUAUUCCAACGGGAGCUAGCUAAUGAACGGCGAAGAGGUGUGCGACGAGGCGGCCCUUGGGGCCAAGCUCGACUGCCCGCUCAUAUUGCUGCUCAUGAAGCUGCUGGUGUUGCCUCCCUUGAUCUGCCAUUCGGUGAUGUAGCUGGGCUUGUUCACCACCUCGCCCACCUCCACGUCGUCCCCGGCCAGCAUCGACACAGCCCGAGACAUGGACGGCCGCUGGUGGGGCGAGCCCUGGGUGCAGAGCAGGGCCACGUGGAUGGCACGGAGCACCUCGUUGCUGUUGAAGUCAGCAAUACAUUUGCCAAACCUGAAAGCACAGAAAAUUAUCUAGAAAUGCUAAGAUGCCAGGCUAGCGUGAGACAGGUGUUUAGGGACGUUUCAUUUACCAAAUAUAAUCUCGUAGUAAUACCGUAUCCCUUAAUUUAUAGACGGGAUUAAAAUCAUUGGUGAGUUGUAGGGCAAUAAUAAGUAUCUUACUAUUACUAAUUGGAGGCUGAAGCCUCUAGGUGAAGCCACCUAGGAUUUCUAGGUGGAUACUCUGUAAAAAGAGAGAAAUCCUAGAAAAACUCAAAAAAAACAAAACAUCCGACCAUCAAUCGAUAGACUUAAAUCAUCAUAGCCAUUGGAUCUAUUAUGUUUUCUAAAAAAUUACCCACCUAUGCCAUUAUGAAAAUAGCCUAAAGUAACCCACUAAAUCUAUAUAUAAAUUACCCACCUAUGCCAUUAUAUAAAAUAAACUAAAUCAACCCCUAAUCUUCAUCAAAAUUACCCACUUCUGCCAUUGUAAACAAUAUUUAAAAUAACCCCCUAAUUUGCAACUGAAUUGCCCACCACUAUUACUUUAAAACACUUUUUAAAGUAAUUCCUUAAAUUUGCAUCUAUAUUACCCACGCAUGCUAUUAUUAAAAAUAACAUAAGGUAAUCCUUCAUUUGGAUCAAAUAACCUUAAUUAAAUAUAUAUAUAUAUAUAUAUAUAUAUAUAUAAUUCUAAAUCAUUUAUACCUUGCACUAUUGGUAUACGAUAUAAUAAUUAAGGUCUAUACGCAUGAUGUGUGUCACCAUUUAUAAAGAUCUAAAGUGAUGUGAAUAUAUAUUUCUAUGUUAAAAUUGUAUCUCAAACUUAGGGUUCAUUAAAAAAAUUCAAGCGCAUACCUGCGAUGCAAAGUGAAAAGUUAAAGAUUACAAAUAUGGAUGAAAAUAUUAUAGAGUAAUUACUAACUAAAAUAUAUCACAAUUGGAUGAAGAUAUUAAGUAGUAUAUAAGUAUUGUGUUCGAAUAUUUAACAAACGAGAGGUAGCUUAUGGUAAUAGUUUUGUAGCAAUGUAGUCUCAUUUUUUCCAUUGGAGGCUCCCAUUAGUUCCCACGAGACAAGCUAGAAAAAAGAGAGAAAUUCUCAUAAAAAUUAAAAAUAGCAAACACCAAUCCUGUAAACUCUAAUAAUCAUAGGCAUUGAUCUAUUAUAUUUUCUAAAAAAUUACCUAACACUAUCAUUGUGAAAAUAUUAAAAAAUGAGCUCUAAACCUAUAUCUAAAUUACCGAGCUCAGCUAUUAUAAAAAAAAUCUAAAGUAACCCCAUAAUUUUCAUCCAAUUUACUAAUACUUAUCAUUAUAAAUCAUUAUAAAGCAUAACUUAAAAUAUCAUUCUAAAAUUUUAUCUAUGUUACCCACGUCCGUUGUUAUUAAAAAUAACCUAAUAAAGUAAACAUGUGCAUCAUACGUCCAAAAGUAAAUUAAUAUAUGAUUCUAAAUGACCUAUUUAUAUCAUUGUUAAUAUAAAAAUACUAAGUUAAAGUAUAUACACAUGAUGAAUCCCACCAUUUAGACCAUUUAUACAUGUAUGUGAGGAAUCGAUGAAAAAUAUUGAUUUGUAGGCUAAACAUAAUGUAUGGAGGAUUGGAGGUGCGAUACAAAAUGGAAAAAGUAUGAAUAUGGAUGAAAAAGUGCAUAGAGUAAUUAUUAAAUUAAAAAUAAUCACAACUAGACAAAGAUAGGUACAUAUCUAUAUAAGUAUUAUGUUGAAGUAUUGAAAAAAUAAGAGAGUAGUAGGUAAACAAUUUUGAUUAUUAGUUAGGAGUUUAAUUUCUAAAUAAUUUUUAAAUACAAUAGCUUCUAAAAACAUUAGCCCGUGCGGGAGCACGGGUUGGUGGACUAGUAUCGGUGAAUGAGUACUUUUUUUUAGGGUCAACGGGGGAGUGCCCCACCUGAUUCAUUAUAGGACCUUUUGAAGGCCGAAGUCAUUACAUUGAGAAAAGAUGGAGCACCAGGCUUCAGCGAUCCGACGAUCCUCCAUACGGAAACGCUGGCUCCAUAGCCGCACUUCAUCACGACAGGACGCCCAGAACCUUGUAUGUGAUGGUGAAGCUCGUUGGAAGACCGUACCAUUGCGGUGCUUCCAAAGCAUCCAGGAGAUCAGAAGAAGAAAGCUAGUGUAGUGGCGCGCCGGGACUGUUGUCGGACGGAGAACAGUCCAAAGGUUUUGGAUAGAGGAGUUGGCUGUCUGCGCGCCAAGCGACGCCCAAACGUGUGACGCGAAGGAGCAGCGGAAGAUGAUGUGGUUGCAGUCCUCUACCUGGCCGCAGAGCUCGCAUGAUGGAUUAUCCAGAACGUUCUUCUUCACCAAGUUGUUGCGGAGCUGGAUGCGUUACUGGACCAGCAGCUAGGCAAAGAACUGGACACGGGGCGCCGCGCGGUUGCGCCAGACAAACUUGGCAAAGGCGCUGGAGGGUGAUCCAGCAAAAGCCAUGAAAUUGUUAUACACUGCACCAACUUGUAGGGCUAUGGCGUUCCCAUUCAGGGGGCAGAGACACUGGUCCUCCCCUUCUCGGAGUGAUACUCGAUCAAUCAGUUCGUUUAGCUUCACCAGCUCCUCGCUGGCCAGGCGCGAAAGCCGUGAGGCAAGGUGUGUGUUCAGCCCCUCGCCCAUGACCUGCUCGACUGCGACGUCCCCGCCGACGGCGUGGGAGUGCAGCAGGGGGAACAUCUCGCACAAUCGGCCUGCUGAUAGCCAUCGAUCGUGCCAGAAGCUAGUUGCUGCUCCAUGGAAGACCUCGGAACAGGUGAUGGCUUGGUAGAGUGGCAGCAAAUCCUCCAGAUCUCUCCAGGGCGCGCCCUCGAUGUUGCCGCGCAGAUCCACAAGGCCAACGCGGCUCCGGACCCAGCGCGCCCUAGACAAGCCUUCGGGGUGGUGAAGGCGGUGAAGGAGCUUGAGCAAGAGGUUUUUGUUUUUCAUGGUCUGAUCCCAAGCCCCCCUGCUCUUUUGGCUAGCACGCUUGCUCCCACGCAACAAGACAUUGAGCUCCACUAACUGUAUCUUCCCCGGACCACAGGAAACGUCAUCGUCGGCAAUUGAGAGCGUCAAUGUUCCCUGGGGGCAGAAGGAGCACUGACAUAGCGUAGGUAAGCUGGCUGUCCAUGACGCUAUUGAUCAGCACUGCAUGGCCCAUUGGAUUGAGUAGGGAGGCGUGCCAGCCGCUGAGAUGCCUGUCCGCUCUAGUGAUCAGAGGGCUGAACACGGACAGACGUAGCUUCUCGUGGGACAGUGGCAGCCCCAGGUAGGUUUGGGGGAAGCUGCCAAGUUGGCACCCAAGAAUACUCUGAAGCGCCGUGGUAGUCGAGCUGGAAGUGUUCAUUGGCACCAUGGUACUCUUGUUGAAAUUGAUGUGCAGCCCCGUGGCCUCGCAGAACAGAUCAAGCACCUGCUUCAGCGCCACCAGCCCGUCUUGAUCUGCCUUGAGGAGGAUGAGAGUGUCAUCGGCAUAUUGGAGCUCGGGGCACGGCUUCCCCGAGGCGGCAGGGUGUGAAAUCCUCUGGUCGAGCUUGAUCAUCUGCUGAAGGACGUCAGCGACCAGAAGGAACAGGUAGGGGGAUAGUGGAUCCCCCUGCCGUAGGCCUCUUCCACAGGCGAACCACGGGCCAGGAACACCAUUGACAAAGACAACAAGCUUCAAGGUUUGCAACAUGCUCGUGAUCCAGUUGCACCAGAGGGGCGGGAAGCCUCGCGCAUCCAUGAUGGCGUUGAGACUGAGCCAAUCCACGGAGUCGAAGGCUUUGGCGAAAUCGAGCUUCAGAACCAGGGUGGGUAGCUUGCGGCAGUGGCAGCACUGGACGAGCUCCAUCGCGUAGAUGAAGUUCUCAGAGAUCGAGUGCCCCUUGAUGAAUCCUGUCUGGUCUGGAUCGAUGAGGCGGGGGAUCUAGUGUUGCAGCCACGUCGUCAGCAUCUUAGAGAUGAUCUUCAAGGAGCAAUUUUGCAGGCAGAUUGGGCGGUAGUCCCCCGGCGUUGUGGCGGCGGCAUGUUUGGAGAUCAUGACAAUGUAUGAGCGAUUCAGAUGCUCAAGCUCCGCAGUACCUGCCUGGAACGCCCAGGCCAGCUCCAUGACCGUCGGCACCACCGUGGACCAUGCCGCCGCGUAGAAAGCUGGCCCGAAGCCAUCCGGUCCAAGAGAGCUAGACCGGUUCAUCGAGCACACCGCGAUGCGCGCUUCUAGCUCCAUGAACGGCGCCAGCAGAGGCGCCUCGUCCACCCUUUCUGAUUCGGCGUAGAGGGCCGCGACGCCGAUGGAGUCCGAAGCUGCCGUGUUCACGCGCAGGAGCCCUUGGUGGUGAGAGGUCAGCGCGGCUGUCUUGUCCUGGUGCGAGGACACCACGACGCCGUCCACCUCUAGGGCCCGGAUGUUGUUGCAGUGCAGGCGCUGAGUGGCCUGCGCAUGGAAGAAGCGGGUGUUCGCGUCGCCUUCCUGGAUGGCGCGGUGUUUCCCGCGUUGCUUCCAGUAUGCCGCGCGUUCGCGCAGGACCAGCACAAGGUGGUCCUGGCAGUCGCAGCAUAAGAGAUGUUCACCUGCAGAAAGACAGCGGCCUUCCUCAAGCACAUCAAGAAGAUAUAUCACAAACUUGCAAUUAGGGAGAAGGGUGGGAGGAACGCUCUUACGUCGCGCCCAAGCCUUGGACGUGCACCGAACUGCUUUGAGCGAGCCAACAAUGGCCGCAGCCACGCCGUGCGGCGAGCCUCUGAGCCAGGCCGGGAGCACCGCGGGCAGGAAGUCGCUGUGUUUGAGCCAGGCGUUCUCAAAGCGGAACAGGUUUGCUUUUGGGAUGGUGGUGGACAUGGGGAGCUGAAUUGGCGUGUGAUCAGAGGUUGGCUUGGGCAAAGAGUAGAGGGAGGAGUUGGGGAAGGAUAGGCUCAUAGGGACGUUGAAGAAGACACGGUCGAGGUGGGUGAGAGUGGGAGUGCUACGGUGAUUGGACCAAGUGAAGAGGUGGUCUAGAAGAGGGAGAUCGAUGAGACCAAGAUGAUCAAUGGUGAAAUUGAACGCUACACUGAGAGAGGCAUUGGCAGAGCCGUUGCUAUUUUCCUCGCCCCCACGGUGAGGUUGAAGUCGCCAGCAAGCGCCCAACUCCCUGGAACGUGACCGGCGAUCUCCUCCAGAUUCUCCAGGAAGGGCAGAGAGUCGCGGUGAUCAGCCGGAGCAUAGACGUUGGUGACGGCGAAGGUGUAGUCAGAGGCUGUGGACGAGAGGAACGUCGUGAGGGUGUGCUGCCUGAUGAUACAGGAGGUGAGGGUGAACGCAGUGGAGUCCCAGGCAGUGACCAUGCCGCCGCGGGUUUCAUUGGAGUCGACACAGCGAAACGCAUCGAGGUUGACGGGAAGGAAGGAACGAGCUCUCAGGCUGUCGAUGGCCCUGAGCUUCGUCUCCUGAAGGCACACAUUGUUAGAACGAGCAGAAGUUAGCGUGUCGUGAACAAUCGUGCACUUGUUCUUGUCCCCAAGCCCACGGACGUUCCAAGAGAGAGGAGAGAAGGAGACAGUGCUAGAGUUCAUUGGUCCAGGAACAACACCAAAUCGCCCCUGCGGAACACACCACAGGAGGGAGACAGAAGCGCGUGGUACAGGAGGGAUAUUAUCUUAAGAACGUGAGGACAUUGCUGACAGCAACCUCAAACUGAGAGGCGCCUCCCAGGAAAAGAAACAAAGCGAAAGGCAAGAACAAACUUAAUUACAAAUAUACAAUCGAGCUAAUCAGAUAGAACACCUCGAAAAUUAUCUUUUUUUAUCGCAGGAGCGCUGAAUAGGACUUACCUUCAGUUGGAUCUGUCCUCGCAGCUGGUGCUUGCUGAGCUUUGGCCGACGCAGCUAGGAGAAGCAACGCGGAGAGCACGUAGCCACGGAGGGAAGAACUCCGUGCUAACCUCAUCUCCCUCCCUCGGUCUGCUGUCGCUUAGCUUGGAGCCUUGGACCUUGGGACGCUAGCCUUCUUUAAUAUUGAGGGAGAUUUCACAACGAUCCAGUCUUUUAGAAAUGGACAUGUUUACUUCAGCUGGAACCUCUGCUGUCUAAGGAAAGGUGCACGAAACUUGAAGUUCUAUAGGAGAAACUCAUCAGCAUAUAUAAUAGUGAAAGAAAGUCAACCAAGGUGAUUGAGGGACAGAAGAUACUUGAAGCCAACAAGGGACAGAAGAGAAGUCGAUCAUAUUGCAAACAGAGAUAUAUGUCUCGUCCAGGGUCCCCAAAAAAGGCAACCACUGACAUUUGCAACAAAAUAACUUAUGUGGCGCAAUGUCAGAUUCAAAGUGACUAAUGAAGGGUUUAUGCAAUUUUACUUUUAAUCAUUCAUUGAUUCAAGACUUUCAUGUUCCAGAUUUCUCGGAAUGAAAUGUUUGUGAUGGAUAGCUUGUAGGAAUUCGAACCAAUUCAACAAAGUAAUCAUGGUGACGGGUGCCUAGACUAGAGGUACUCUCAAACCAGCAGCACCUCAUGCACUUCUUCCAAUGGAGAGCUGCCGAUUAUAUUAAAAAUAAGAAAACUAAUAGCGCCGACUCAACAUGGAACCAACGUGUUCUCUCGUACACCCCGGAAUCAGGAGAAGCAUAUAUCUGGUUCGCCCAAGGUUUCUCCGAUCCAGAGAAAAAGUAGAGAUGAGAUUGCGAUAGCAAAGGCGGCUGCUAUCAGAACGUACGUGCAGGGACGAACAUCUCGCGAGAAGCUUUUUCUAUCUCAGUAAAAGAAAAAUAAUUCGGGACGGACUGGACAUACCUUUCAGUUGGAUCUGUCCUUGUUGUUGGUGCUUGCUGAGCUUUGGCCGAUGCAGCUAGAAGCAGCAGCACGGAGAGCACGGAGCCACGGAGGGAACAACUCCAUUUUGACCUCAUUUCCCUCUUCCUAACUGCUCUCGCUUAGCUUGGCCGUGGCCCUUCCGAGGAAAGCAAUCUUGUUCCGUGUCCAAAAAUUUGCUGAUUUCAUCAUCAUAGAAGGAAAGCAAAGCAAAUAAAGCAGCAGUCAAAGGCACACGACUGACUGGGGAUACGCGGUCGUUUGGCAACAUUAGUACUGAAGACGACUGCAUGACUGACUGACAUUUUCAAGCUUUGGAUUCAUCCACUCGAACCAUUCAAGACUGUCAUGGUCUAGAUAAUUAAGGCGAUUUCCCAGGAUGGGAUGUUUGCUAUGGACAGCUUAUACGAAGUACUAGAAUUUGGCCUAAUCCUAUGAACCCAGACAAGUUCCUACGGAGAGAAUUUGAUUCCAGGUCCGCCAUUGGAUCAAAGUAGGCACGGAAUGGAAUAAUUGAUCAGCGAGCUUGGGUUUAAUAACUACCAUAGCUAGAAGUAGAAGGUGGUUUUCCUCGAACAGUUAUACUGGAUCAACCUUUUGUACUGAUAAGAUCCAACGGCUGAGAGGUUGCUUGCAAAGGUGUCCGACGCAAAUGCCUGGAUCGGACGUUAGAGCUUUGGCAGAGCCCUAACUGCUAUCUUUUCUGCCCGUUGAUAUAAUUGAUAAUUCCUAAUGCAUGCUUCAAUAUCAAGUCUCUUCUUAAGUGCAAUCGUAACGCAACUAGUAUGUUGCAUACCUAUGCAGAAGUCGUAGAAUGGGCUGACGGGCAAAUGCAUGCAUAUAUAGCACAUGAUGAUCGACUAUCUGUUGACCAGCAAAGCAAGUAAAGCACACGUGCCAACGCAGGCGUUUAAUUCAAAACACUGAGGACGACUAUCACACCUUAAAAUUUAAGUUCUCUAUAUAUGCGUACACUGAGUAUAUAUAUACAUAUAUAUGCCUUAUUGUUGACCCCUGAUCGAUGCUGUUUGAUGGUUGUCCGUGCGUGAACAUAAUGGAAUUCGAUUAUUCGAUCCCAGGUCCAUCACCUGAUCAAAGGAGUGUCUGUUCUAGCCAGUUGCACCUUACGAAUCUUACACACAUCCAAAUCUAAUGGAUCGUCUUCAAACUGCAUCCACACCAAAUAAUAUAAUCCGUUGCUUGACAGAAGCUUAUUUGAAUCUGAUGAUCAUUGACCAUCAUCACCGGCCUUCCUCGAUGAGGGAGCUCAGGUACGACGAUGCCGACAUGCCGACCACCUCCCUCUUGCUCGAGCUCGCCUGCCACUCGGUGACGUAGCUGGGCUUCGUGACUGCCUCUGGCACUUCGAUGUCUUCUGUGAGCAUGGACACCACCUUUGACAUGGAUGGCCGCUGCCGAGGUUAGCUCUGGAUGCAGAGGAGGCCGACGCGGAUGGCACGGAGAACCUCGUCGCUGACGAAUUCCAUGAGACUCGGGUCCACGACGUCGAGAGGACGGCCUUCCUCGCACAAUUGCCAGACCUGAAAGCGUAGGGCUCAUGCAUGUAGGAGAACUUCACUGUUGUAGGAAUGCAACAAGCUAUUUUUUUUCAUAUGAUUCCAAAUUCUAAGAUCCACAUAAUGCUGCCAUUUUAAAAUUUAACACGCUGUGUCAGCUGCUUAGAUGCUAACAAGGUCUUAUAAGUGACACCAUAUGCAUGACUAGCAAUUUCUACGAAAAAUGUAUUUGUCUCAAAUAAAUAGCAUUUUUAUGUUGAAUUUAGUAUAUGAACAACUUUUAAAUUUUUAUGUUGUUAAUCUAAAUAAUUCUUCAUGUAGUGCUGCGCAAAGCUAAAACUGCUGCACAUUUUAGAAGAGGGACACUGGAGCAUAGAUCUUUAGAUCAAUAACUUAUAUUCUGUGUCCGAGGGAGUAACAAAACUUUCCCUCUUCUAAACAAGUGCCUAUCAACAACUAGCAUUCUGUACAUAGCUUAUUUAUUUGACUGCAUCUCUUUUUAUAUAAUUCAAUGAUGUCAAAAUUAUGGUUAAGUUUUUGAAUAAAAAUUCUUAUGAACGCACAUGAGCUUUAAUUUUUAUGUUAUAUAAGUGCCUAUCACAUAUAUAUAUUCCCAGUUACCACAUGAAAAACUGCAAUUUGACCUGGGUCUAAAUUUUGUAGUGACUUUACCCAUUCUAAAAGAUAGGCCCUGUCUUCGUCAAGCCUAUCAUCAUAGUUUGGCCUUCCAGCUAUUGUUUCCAAUAUGACCACGCCAAAAGCAAAUACAUCAACUUUCUCCGUUACAUGACCUCUCAUGGCGUACUCAGGUGCUAGAUAACCACUUGAAAGAAGAGCAGAAAAAUAUUGUUAUUAGCUCACAGAUUAAUCAAACUAAAGUAUAAACUUUCUGCAAUUGUAUAAAGGUGCACUCCAGUGUGCAAGAUAACCUCUCAUUCCCUACUUACUAUAAAUGGGGCAAGAUGCAAAUGCGCUUACAAUGUACCGGCAACUUUUGUGCUGACAUGCGUCUUCUUGUCAUCAUAAAGUUUAGCGAGUCCAAAAUCUGAGAUCUUAGGGUUGAAAUUGGUGUCAAGUAAGAUAUUACUGGCCUUUAUAUCCCUAUGCACAACACGGAUGCUAGACUCUUCGUGCAAAUAAGCUAGACCUCUUGCAAUGCCUAAGCAUAUCCCAAAGCGUGUAAGCCAGUCUAGGUUCUUUCUCCCACUUCCUGCAAAUGAAUGUUUAAGUUAUACGAUGAACUCCUGGAGGGCCGGAGUUAUAUACAGUUGCAUCAAAUUGAAUGAACCUGUACCAAACAAUGCUUUAUCAAGACUUCCAUUCUCUAAGUACUCGUAAACCAGCAGUGGAUUUUCGCCCUCAAGGCAGCAACCAUACAACUUCACGAGAUUCCGAUGUUGCACUUGGGAAAUAGUUUCUAUUUCAGCUAUGAAUUGCUUCUUCCCUUGACGAGAUGUUUCAGAUAGCUGCUUUACUGCUACCAUGCUUCCAUCGGUCAGUUUACCCUGCGAAAAUGUGGCAUUUUUCAAGAAUGUAAGUUUCAGAAACCUCAUUAUCACGCAUAUAAGGGACAAAGUAAAGAGACUGCCAAGCUAACCAUGUGGGGCAACUAUAAAAGGAACUAGUAGAGAGCAACAAAAGGGAAAACCAAUGGGGAAUGUGUGUGUAGAUUGAUAUUACUAAAAGAAUAGGUGAAGCAUUGCCCAGAAGUAGAGGUUUAUUAGUCAAUUUGCAUACAGAAAAAGAGCUCUGAUGUGCACUACUUAUGUACGUGGAAACUUAAUUUCAGAGGCAAAUUAAAAUUCCAUAGCAAAUUUGCAUCCAUGUCACCAUGUGUAGUACAGAUGAACUAACCUUAUAAACUGCCCCGUAUCCUCCUUCACCAAGAAGGUUAGUGGAAUUAAAAUUUUCACUAGCGGUCCUUAGUUCACCAUAACUGUAACUAAAUACAUUUGGUCUUCCAACAAAACUGUACAGCUCUGCAAGAAUCACAAGAGAUAAGUUUAUGAGCACAACCUCUUUGUCCGGUUUAAGAAUACACUAUGAACCUGUCAUAUCAUGUACCUCGUUUGUCCAAUGACAAUUUUCUACUUUUCUGCCUCAACACAUAGAGUCCAGAGAGCACUAAUAGUCCUAAAACUGCUGCACCAACCCCAACCCCAACAGCUACACCUGUAUUGCUAGUACGCUUCGUCUGGGCAGCAUGGGCAGCAUUACGCACUGUAGGUUUGAAAUCUGUCCAAAAGUCCACUUGUUAGAACAAAUGCAAUCUUGGAUUUGGAUCCUAUGUUAAGUGUUUAUGAAUUUUCACUUUUUAAAAGUACUUGAGAAUUCAGCACCGGUUCAGAGUGGAUCUGUAAUUCUGUAUCACUAUUAUACAUGUAAGAGUGUUGGUUCAGUCAUCAGCAUUCUCCUAAUGGGAACUAAGUUGACCCCGCGAAAAUUAUCUAAACAGUAUAGAAACGUUGGUUUAUAGACAACGGGAGUACUUGGAGUUGCACUCAAAGCAGAGAUCGAAGGCCCAUAGUAGCCUUGACUAGGGAUGCAACAAGUGCCCUUGCCGGCCCAGAAAAGAUGAAUCUCAAGGAAGUUUCUGGUGACAGGAACAGUAUACUUCCUCGUGACAGCAGUGUAAGAUUUUCCGCCUGCUGCCUUUCUUAUGUCAAAGUUCUGCUCCUUACGCUCACCCUGUACCAAAAGCAAGAAAAAACAAUUAGAAAAUCUCAAUCAGCCCAUAAGCUAAAAACUCAAGUAAGUGUAAGUUAUCAGCAUGACUGGAACCUACCUGAACAUAGAUAUCGAAAACCCUUUUACCUAAACUCUUCCAAGUCUGCAUGUCUUCGAAGUCAAACUCUGCAAAUUGAAGUGUGACUGUAUAGUUUCCAUUCUCAAGUCCAAUGCCAUAGUAGCGUAAUGAUGAUGGAGACAUCCUUGCUGUCUGGAACAGUUCUGAAUCUAGAGUAUUCUGAAACUGGCGUGAGCUGUAGAUUAUGUAACUUCCAUUUUGUGAAUCCAUGAACCUCCCAACAUUGCUAACACCCCAUGUUGGUGCUCCUGUAACAUAAUAGGAAGCAGGUCCCAGAUCGGUGUAGUCAGGCUGAUAUAUGGAAUUAUCUGAGCCAUUAUUUGAACCUGAUAUAAAUCUACUGCUCCCACAGUCCACAGCAACGGAGGAAGCUGCAAGCAUGUUAAAUUAUUUAAUACUGAUGUUAUUUAGCGUAUCCUUAAAGUGCAAAAGUGGAAGCUCACAUUCUGAAGAGCCAAGAAAGCAGGGUGUGUCUCGCUGAAGGCACCCUAGCCCCCAAGGUAAGGCACUGAAGAAGUCAAACAUUGUCAAUUUGAAUCCAAAAUAUGAGCUGAGGCCUGAGAGAACAUAAAAAUUGUGCUUGAAGACUUUAAUGACCUAUUUGAAUACAAACUGACCUGUUAUUAUUAUUGAAUUCGUCGAAUACAAAAUUGUUCGCCACCAAAUUCCUAUGUAGAAUGAAACAUGCAAAAAAAGUUAGAAGGCACUAUUGCGGAGAAUCAAGAGAAACCAAAGCAGGGACAAAAUUGAUUCAGUUUUUUAAGAUAAGUGAUAAGGUAAAGUACACAUCUGCUUGUUCAAAGAUGUUGAAUCAUAGAUGACGUCAAAUGCAAAAAAAAAGGGAAAAAGAAAAAAGAAAUAUGAUAUAGGUGCAGCAAAAGCAGCUUUUUAGAUGUAGUCGAUAUUAAAAAAUGCUAGUUUAAUACAUGUGUAUGAUAUUGGAUUAUCUUUAAAAAAAUAGUAAUAGGGCUGAAUUUUUGGUCAGUCAAUCAAGCUUGCAAAACUCAGCACUUACAAUUUCAAAUUCGGACUAACCCAGGAGGGAAAGUUUCCUGAUAGCUGGUUGUAGGAAAAGUCUCUACACAAGAAAGCGUGUAAAUGUUAUAGAUAAACGCCUUCCUGGUUUUACUUCACAAAUGAAAGUGGACAAACAUACAAGUUUUUAAGAGAAGUUCCUAUAGAACUUGGAAGGCUUCCUGAAAGACUAUUAUUCCCGAGAAACCUGGGCAGACCAAAUUUGCGCAUUAGCAAGAUUGAUGAUCAUUGUCAUCAGAACCUAGAAAUAAGUAUCAGAAGGCAAGAUAAACCAUACAAGAAGUUGAGUAAAUUCAGAUUCGGCAGAGCUUGUGGUACUUGGCCAGUGAUAUUGUUAAAACUCAAAUCCCUGUAACAGUAGAACAAAUGAGACUAGGAGAGAAAGGGGUCAUCAAACAAUGCAUAAUCCGCAGCAGUUCAUUAAAGCAUCUAGCAAAACAUGCAGUUGACUGGAGUUUAGGAAGAAACAAAAUGUCUUACAGUAGGGUUAAUGUUGCAAACUGUGAAAAGUUUACUGAUGCCAGGUUAUCAGAUAUCCUGCAGUUCCUCAAAACUCUGCAAUGAAACAUGUCAAGAGUUUUCGGAUUUAACAAUUGGUUACACUACAGAAAAUAUUAAGAUGUAGUUUGAGUCAUCAAAUGAAUAGCAAGUUAUGCAUACAAGGUGUUCAAAGAUGUCAUGUUACUGAUGAAUGCCAGUGAAGAACUUCCAUUUACUAUGUCACCUAUUCGUCUGCACCACAGAAAUAGAUAGUUCAUUCUUCCCAUGUGCAAACUUGAAAUUUAAGGAUGAUAGUACCUACUCUUUCCAUAAGUAGUCACUUACAAGCUUGUCAGUUCGACGAGAUUAGAAAGAGUGGUCGGAAGGGGACCUUGAAACGAAUUGCCUUGAAACCGCCUACAAAUUGAAAUUAUUGUUACUAUUUUUCAAGCAUCAUUUAUUUACCAAUGUGUUUACCUACUACCUAGUAAAGAAACAAGAAAGAUGGGACUUCUUAGGUAAAACAAGAAAUUUAUAAUGAAAAGUAUUAGAAAAAAGGUUCAAAGAUUACUAAUACUAGCAUCCAAAACGUAGCAUCGUAUUAUAAUGAAUAGUGAAAACAAAAAGAUUUAAUAUUUACUAAUAUGAUAAUAACAGCUCACACCUGACCUAAAUAAAUUAGUUAAGAGGCCACUAAAUGGAAAUCGGUAGAGUAAAAGACACAUACACUUUUCUUUCCUUUUUUUACUUGAACACACAGGAGAACUAUGUGCAUUGCAUUAAGAAGACGAAAGUGUUGAAAAUUUAUAGCAGAUUUUCGAUCAUCACAUUCGCGUCCUUGAAUAUGUGGAUACUACCAGACUACUUGACUCUAUGCUCUAGUUGCUACUAAAGCCACUAAGUCCUUAGCACUGACAAGACACCAUAGGUGAGCUUCUUUCUCAGGCUCUCAGCAACCUGUAAUAGGCGCUGGAGUGAAAGACCUAGACGCUAAACAGAAUGAACUCAUUUACAUAUGGCAACGAGUGAAGUAGGUAUAAAAUGAAUGUCCUACUUCAGUACCAACUUAAGUUCUGAUAAAAAUAAAGAUUGACUUGUGGAGAGCUAUAGCUUGUUGUACCUAUACUAUUUGGGGUGAAAAAAGGGACCAAACAAUUAUGAAAAUGAAACAACAUAUGUUGCUAUUUUCAAUUAGGAAAUGAUUGCAAAUAAUGAAGAUUAAUUAAGAAAAAACUUACAGUUCAGUUAGAUUAGCCCAGUUCCCAAUAUAAUCUGGUAUUUGCCCAGUAAAAUCAUUAUCUGAUGCCCACCUGAACACAAAGAACAAUAACAAAUAAGAUUGAGUGGCAUGGAACAGUACAGUCAACAAAACAUCUCUUAUAUGCAUACAAUGUUUUCAUUCUUGUAAGACUAGAAAGCGAUGAUGGUAAGGGACCACUUAAGCCAGCGCUAUCAAUAUACCUGCAAUUAAGAGAUGCAAAUAUAAGCACAGAAAUAAGAAGCCGACUAAUUCAAGCAAACAAUUCUACGAAAGAAAUAUAUAGUGCCCAAAACAAGUUAACACGCACAGCUGCUCAAGUUUAACCAAAUUCCCUAGUUCCAACCGAAGGGAACCAUUUAAGUUGUUUGAGCUAAAGGACCUGAAACCCACCAAAAAAAAUAUAGGUUAAUCACAAAAAAUGAGAAAUAUCUAUUCCUAGAAGCAUAAUUACUGGCAGAAAGCUACAUUUCUAGACAGUGGUUAAUCAGUUAAGGAAUGAAGAUGUUAAGUAGAAAUCUCUAACCUUUCCUAGGGAAAUACGGUGAUACAAGAUUAGUAAGGUUCCACAUUACAAAAAUUUAUUUCUUACAGCCAUACGAGAUUGGUAAGGUUCCCGAGCUCCUUUGGAACAGAUCCGGAUAAUGAAUUGAUGCCCAGAUCCCUGUGUAUUGGACAGAAUGAGAUGAUGUUCUGAUGUUAAGCAAAAACAUGUAAUGUAAUAACGGUUUAAGAUUUAAAUCUCACAUGUACUGCAUAGCAGUCAAUUUCCCGAGGAACGAUGGUAAAGGCCCUGUUAAGUAAUUUUGUCCUAAGUUCCUGAAACAACAUCAGAAAAGAUAUUAACAAAGAUUAAAGUUGGCUCAUCAUGUUUGAAUUUUGGUGUAAUGUUGGAAUACGGUGUUUCCAGAAUAUUACAAUUAUGCUGAACCUCUAGAAUAUCUUCAUAAAGAAAUAGGCAAUAGGCAUCAGCUAUUUACAAAGUCCCCCAAAAACCACAAUCCACAAGUAAAAGUCCUAUUGGACCCUUCAGGUACAAUGCAAGAAAGUUGAGAGUUCAUACAGAUUAGUCAAACGCGUGAGGUUCUGUAGUUCUGCCGGUAUCGCACCAACCGCAUUCAGCGCAUGUAUUUUCCUGCAAGCGAGCAAAGUCAAGUACAUGGACCGUCAGCUUACACUAUCUCAAUUUAACCAUCAUCAUCGCUGUUCGUCAGAUAUAAACACCAGCAGGAGGCGUAUGGAGCACCGCUGAAUCCUCUAGCUAGCACUUUUCAGAUACAGAGGUAACGACGUACUAGCACAGCGAGGCGGACGCAUCGCAUACCCAAAGGCUCGGUACAAACAGCGAAACCUCCGGCAGGCCAUCCGUCGAACACCUGCCGUGCGUAGCGGCAAGACGUGAGCUCUGAGUUGGCGACUUACAGCUUUGUGACGUGACAGACGGUGUUGUUCUGGCCGGAGCACUCGCACUUGAUGGCCGGGUUGAAGUUCGGGUCUGUGUCGAUGUUGGUGCCGUCCGUGGCGGCGCCGGUGCAGGGAUCGCCACUGAUGUUCCAUGCCGACGACGCCGUCUGGCCGAGCUUGGCGAACACCGCAUUCACCGCCGCCGCUGCAAAACCGAAAACGGGUUCACACUUCACACACAUCCCAAAGACCCAAACCAACGGCAACAACGACUACCCGCUCAUCGAUCGUCCGAUGGCCCGGUCCCGCGGCGAUCGGACGGCCACGGAUCAGGACCCACGCUGACAUGGCGGAGCCGACCAAGCCAAGUCUGAAUUUUAUGGUGGGCAAGCAAAAGGCGAAACACGAUAUCGAUGGAUUGAUCAUUGAUGCAAGCUGAUUUGAAACCCCCUCGCUAAUCUGAAAGAAAGAACUGGAGACAUGCACGCUCACCUUCAACCGGAUCGGUCCUUGUCCUCGCUUGCUGAGCUUGCGCAGAUGCAGCUAGAAGAAGCAGCAGCAGCAGCAACGUCGGGAGCGCAGCAGAGCCAUGGCGGCACGAACAGCUGGGUCCAGGCCUCCUCAUCUCCUUUCCCUCUCUCUGGCCUCGAGCUCGGGAUUGGCUACCCCUUCCGAGGGCGAGCGAGAUAUAUGGUGACCUGAUGGAGACUCUUAUGGCGACUAGCUUGUCUCAGGGCCCCGCCGCCGCGGCAGACACGUACAGCUCCCUCGACGCUGCGCCACCAUGCAAGGACGGCGCAACUAGGGAAUUUUCUAUGGUCAAGUGGCGCCACUGCUCUGUCGAAUGCGACGGGCCAACAAACUACCUCCAGGCUCCCACAUGGAAGCAGAGCCGAAGGCGAUCGACGACGACGGCUGACCGUGUUGUUCUGUGCGAGGAGACUUACAGGUGGGUGACGAGGCAGACAGUGUUGUUCUGGUAGGUGCAGUCGCACUUGAUGCCCGGGUUGAAGUUGGGGUUGUCAUCUAGAACGGUGCCGUCCGUAGCGGCGCCUGUGCAGGGGUCGCCGCUGAUGUUCCAUGCCGACGCCGCCGUCUGGCCGAGCUUGGCGAACACCGCGUUCACCGCCGCCGCUGCAACGAUAUCGAGUUGAAACCGUGAUCAGAUUCACAUGUGAUGGCGAAAAGGUAAGUCUAUUUACACCACCUAGCUUGGCCGUCUUUUAAUUUCUUCCAGGAGGAGGAACGUAUAAUUUUUUCAAGCGAAUGAGGAGGAAACAUCCUCACGUGAAAAGCAGUUUAUACUUUCAUAGGAGUACAUGAGAUGGAACCUACAAUCCCCUAGGAAAGCUGAUCGAUCAGGAACGAACAGCUCAUGGAAAGCUCUUUUUUUAGAGAAAGGAAUAAUAUCCGGCCUUAACAUUCACAAGUGAAUAACAUUCAUGGAAAGCUCUUAUGUUUCAGGAAUAGGAAACGAGGUGGGUAUACCUUCAGUUGGAUCUGUCCUUGUUCUUGGUGCCGCUCGUCGAGCUCCGGCAGAUGCAACUAGAAGAAGCUGCAGCACGGAGAGCACGAAACCUUGGAGACAAGAACUCGAUUUCAACCUCAUCUCCCUGACUCCCUCCUGCAUCUGCUCCCGCUAGCUUGGGCGCCGUCGCACUGCUAACGAUCUCCUAGCCUCAUAAGGAGUCUGUUUGUUUUUCCACGCGCAAUAAAUUUGCAACUGCCAUGAAAACAGUUGCACAUGAGUGGCUACAUACUUUUCAAAGCCUUCUCACACUUCUUCAGAACUAAAUAAAGCUCGUGCCGACAGAUAUUAGCCCAGAUCAUUCAUGACUGUCAUGUUCUAGAUUUACCCCGGAGAAUAAUGAAAUGUUUGCAAUGGACCAAUUCAAUGGAGUAACAAGGUCACACGUGCAUUGGACAUGGACAUAUACAUCAUGUCGAGUCUGAUAGUGUUUGGUUCGUUACCUUAGCACGUAAAUGUAAAGAGUGUAUUUGGCGGCGAAACGGGUGAUUAACCUCUUUGUUUGGUUGCAUUCUGGUAACGUAUUCAGAUUACGGUGUGGGUGUUGUAUUUGAUUACGAUGGAGGAGUAGGGGUAACAAGCUUGUAUAGAUAUUAUUUAGGUAAGGGAUUCGAUUAUAGCGUCAGUUGAUUACAAACCACCACAACCAACAUAUGUAAUGCAAUUCGUUACCUUCAUAUUACGUUACAUGUGAGCCAACCAAACACCACCUUUAUUUAUUUCAAGUUGCCUGCCUCGUUGUGAUGUGUGAACCAAUGAUGAGUUUACUCGCAGCACAUUUUGCUCACUAUUUUUUACAGUUUAAUUACCACUUCCCCUGUAGCUUAUUCACAACCAUGCUAUCAUAAACCUAAGAAAAUUAUGGGAGAUAUUUUUAUUUACAGUUUAGCACUUUCAUUAAAUAUUUUACAUAUAUUCAAUAAUGUGGCCAAAUCGUGUUUUCUACGAAGGCUUGUGAACUUGAUAUUACAAAUAUUAUAUAAUUCCCAGCAUACGCAUUACACUAAAGAUUUUACCAGAAGCGUGAUAUUGCUCCACCUCGAGUGCAGAGUGGGAGUGAACUUACACGUUCUAAAAUAUAAACAAUAUACUCUUGUUACACCGCUGGAGAGGAGGCAUCGCUGGAGUCGCACUCUGCCCUGUUGAGCACGCAUCAUCCCUCCACUCUGUACGGAUCUCUUUGGCGCAGCUCCUGCCGGCUCCGGCUCCAUAACUGUAGCGCACUAUAGCUCAUUGUAGCGCGUGCCGGAUUUGGAGCCGAGGGAGCAAUUGUUUCUAGCUUCACCGCUCCUUCUUCGUAACUGUAGUGCAAUGUAGCUCAUCGUAGUGCGUACCGAAUUUGAAAACGGGGGAGCAAAUUUUUCUAGAUUCACUGGCUCCUCCUCUUCUCCUUUUUAGCUUCAAUAUGGGUUUUGACUCUUUGCUACAUAACAGCACAACAGCGAUACAAGUAACGUGAUAGAGGAGACCAGAGCCGUGAGGGAGCGGUGCCAAAAGGGUCAUACGGGUGUCUUCCUCUAUUUUCUUUGCAACAAUCGAUCACAGCACAUAACCUAACACAAAAUAUGUGCAAAAGCUGAAUAUCCUGAGAACGUUUGUGACGUGCAUUUACAGAAAACUGUCCGUCAACUUGCAAAUCACCGUCCUUCUUCUCGAUGACGGAGCUAGCUAUGAACGGCGAAGAGGUGUGCGACGAAGCGGCCCUUGGGGCCAAGCUCGACUGCCCGCUCAUAUUGCUGCUCAUGAAGCUGCUGGUGUUGCCUCCCUUGAUCUGCCAUUCGGUGAUGUAGCUGGGCUUGUUCACCACCUCGCCCACCUCCACGUCGUCCCCGGCCAGCAUCGACACAGCCCGAGACAUGGACGGCCGCUGGUGGGGCGAGCCCUGGGUGCAGAGCAGGGCCACGUGGAUGGCACGGAGCACCUCGUUGCUGUUGAAGGCCAUGUUUAGUUACCCCAAAUUCCCAACUUUGGCACUAUGCAUAAAGAAGAUUCCCCAUCACAUCAAACUUGCGGUACAUGCAUGGAAUAUUAAAUGUAGACGAAAUCAAAAAUUAAUUGCACAGUUUUGUUGUACUUUGCGAGACGAAUCUUUUGAGCCUAAUUAGUCAAUGUUUGAACAAUAAUUCACAAAUACAAACGAAAUGCUACAGUUGCGCAUUUAUGGCAAAAUGCCAAUUUUGUCACUCCCAAAUUGGGAACUAAACAAGGCCGAAGUCAGCAAUACAGUUGCCAAACCUGAAAGCACAGAAAAUUGUCUAGAAAUGCUAAGAUGCCAGGCUAGCGUGACAUGUGUGUAGGGACGUUUCAUUUAACAAAUUAUAACCUCGUAGUAAUACCGUAGGGACGUUUCAUUUUACAAAUUAUAAUCUCGUAGUAAUACCGUAUCCCUCGGGAUUAAAAUUAUUGGUGAGUUGCAUGACAAUAACAAGUAUAUCGGUGAAUGAGUACUCUUUGUAAUUCUAAAUUUCAACUCUUGAGUUGGUUGCUCCAGUAAACAACCAUGUCUUUCUCUCACCUCCCCUUCUCUCACUCUAUAUUGUAAAAUAUCCUACGCAGCAUUAAGAUGGCUGACUUAGGUAUUUCUUUAAAAUAAGUAUAUUGGUGUCGUUUAACAGGUAGUCUUGUGCAUUGCUUGGUAAUCUUUGAGACAACCUAAUAGAUAACUGUAAAGCAUGGCUUGUCUUUUACUUAUGUCAUAAGUAUAGAAAAAGAAAUAUUGUGAGUUGCAUGGAAAUAACAAACUAGUAUAAUGAUGAGAGCGUGGUUCUAUAAUCCUAAAUUUUUACCUUAUGAGUUGGUUCUUUCGCGAACAGUCACUUCCUUCUUUCCCCUCCACAUCAUCAAAAAUUAUAUAUGGCGAGACGAGUGGCGUGGCGUGUAACAAUGUAGGCAUGGUUCCAUGCAUGUUGGACGAAGCAACGGUGUGUGUGGUAUUAGCAUGAUGAAGCACAUAGAAUUCCUGUUCUGUCGAGAAGGCAAAGCAGAGCGCUAUAUGGUGUUCGAGCUAAUCGCGAACAAACUGGACAUACCUUCAGUAGGAUCUGUCCUUGUCCUCUGUGCUUGCUGAGCUCCGGCAUGCAGAUACAAAGAGACGAAGCAGUAGCACCAAGAGCACGAAGCCAUGGAGACAAGAGCUCGGUUUCAACCUCAUCUCUCUCCUCUCUGCUCUAGCUUGGUUUGGUGGGAGAUAUAUUACACGAUGACCCAGCAUUUAGGAAUGGACAUUGUCUCAGCUGGGAAGGUUACAAGAAGCAACAGUUCUUUUUUUUUUUGAACAAACGGCACGGAUUGUGCCAUUUCUAUUAGAAGAGAUUUACAGGUAAAGCAACAGUUCUACAAAGUACACUAAAGUCAAGAAGAUGACGGAUGGUGACCCUGUUAGAAGAGUCAGAGCGGUUGCAAUCGUUGACGCCUUACAGGUUUUUUGACCUAUUCCUGACGCUUCAAUAUGGAAUAUCUUUUUUUUUCCUUAGAUGCACGAUAGAUCUCUGCAACUGUCUUGAAGACGACUUGCUCAUGGUUGGCAUUAUACAUUUUUCAAAGAUUUAGAGCAGCUAAGCACGGGCCAUUAUACAAUAGUCGAGUAGUUCUAAAUUUUGCCUGCCUACUUAGCUCUAGUGUGAAGUGCGAGAACAGUUUCAUGCACGCAUUGAAGUCGCACCUAAAUUUUCCUCAAAAAAGAAGAAGAAGAAAAGUUGAACAGAAAAGAUCCACGUGAAGCAACCAUCAAGCACAGCACAUAACCUAACACGAUAUUAUGUAGCAUUUACACACAAAAAAUGUACUAAUAAUUUUGCUACAUCUAACAUUCUAACGUGCCGUAAAUCUUGAAAACCAUAUAUGCACAUCCAAAUAGACAAGACCCUCCAACAUCAUCACCAUUUGAUUAUGCAUACAAAAAUUGGACUGCAGACGAUUCAAAAUCGAACAAAAAAUUUGCCUAAAAAGAAAAUCGGGCCGAAAAAGAUCUACACGGAAGCAACAAUCGGACACAGCACACCACCUAACACAAUAUAUGUGCAAAAGCUGACAAUCCCGAGACUGUUUGUAACGUGAAUUUACAAGGAACAAUCCGUCGAUCGCUUGACCGAACUUGCUAGUCAUCACCGGCCUUCUUCGAUGACAGAGGUCAGGUAUGGAGACGAUGUGUCUGACGAGGCUGCCCUCCGUGCCAAGCUCGACUGCCCGCUGACAUUGCUGCUCAUGAAGCUGCUUGUGUUGCCGCCCUUGAUCUGCCACUCAGUGAUGUAGCUGGGCUUGUUCACCACCUCACCCACCUCCACGUCUCCUGCCAGCAUCGACACAGCCCGGGACAUGGCCGGCCGCUGGUGGGGCGAGCCCUGGGUGCAGAGCAGGGCCACGUGGAUCGCACGGAGCACCUCGUCACUGUUGAAAUCAGCAAGCUUGGGGUCUAACAUGUCCAGUGGGUGGUUUUCCUCGUACAGUUGCCAGACCUGAAAUCAUAGAGAGAAGAUAAGCUGCCAGGUUGGAGUAGCUUGUCUCAGGCAAAUUCACUAAUUCGGAUAUAUAAUAUGUCUGCCAUGUUAGUCAAAAGAAGGGAAUUAAAAUGUGAUCAACCUCUUGUACUGCAAUAACAUCCGUCAUGCUGGCAUGCUGAAAUAGCACACUACUAUAUUCAGGUAGGAUAUAAACCUAAGUAUAGCACAAUUAGCAUUUUAUUUAUAGUUUAGCAAUUUUUCUGAAAUUUAGCCCACUACUGUAUUCAAGUAGUGUAUAAACCUAAGCAUAGUACUAGCAUUUUGUUUACAGGUCAGCAACUUCACGCAAUUUUUUCCUAACAGAAUGAUGUGGCAAACAGUGAUGUAAUGAAGGCUUGUGAACUCCAUUAUAAAUUCCUAGCAUAAACUUUACAGACGAUUUUACCAAUAGUACGGAGACUAGAGUGCAACAAUGCCUUGCCUCAAGUUUAGAGUUCAGAGUGAACUUACCCAUUCUAAAAUAUAAACCUUAUCUUCAUCAAGUGUAUUGUCAAAGUUUGGCCUUCCAGCUAAAGUCUCCAAAACAACCACGCCAAAUGCAAACACAUCAACUUUCUCCGUCAUAUGACCUCUCAUGGCAUACUCAGGUGCAAGAUAACCACUUCACAGAAUAUUUACAAGAAGUUUUAUAUUAGCUCACAUGUGAAAAAUAUUAACAUAAAGGGGGAAAGAUGGAAAUGUACUUACAAUGUACCAGCAACUUUUGUGCUGACAUGUGUCUUCUUGUCAUCAUAAAGUUUGGCGAGCCCAAAAUCGGAGAUCUUAGGGUUAAGAUUGGUGUCAAGUAAGACAUUACUAGCCUUUAUGUCCCGAUGCACGACACGGAUGGCAGACUCUUCAUGGAGGUAAGCAAGACCUCUUGCAAUGCCCAAGCAUAUCUCAAAGCGUGUUUGCCAGUCCAAGUUCAGUCUCCCACUACCUGCAAAUAAGUGUUUAUUUUUUAAUGUCCAUAUAACAAAUGUGACCCCCACCCCCACCCCGCACACACGCACACGCAAAUACACACAUUCAUAGUUGCACUAAUUGAAUGAACUCGUACCAAACAGUGCUUUAUCAAGGCUUCCAUUCUCCAGGUACUCAUAAACCAACAGCGGUUUAUUGCCCUCAAGGCAGCAACCAUACAACUUAACGAGAUUCCUGUGUUGCACUCGAGAAAUAGUUUCUAUUUCAGUUGCAAAUUCCUUUUUUCCCUGAUUAGAUGUUUCAGAUAGCUGUUUCACAGCCACCACCCUUCCAUCGCUUAAUUUACCCUGCAAGAAGAUGCCAUUUUAUCAACCAUGUGCAGAAACUAGAAAAUAAACAGGAAAACAAUAGAAAAAAGGGAAUGUAGUGGGAAAUGACCCCACUGGUGUGUAUAUAUUAAUAUUAUAUUAGUGAAAAUAAAUUAAAGGAGUUCACACCACCCAAAAUAUUGUUGAACUAACAAAGCUAGCUGAUUUUCCAUAACAAAACACACAAAUGGGACAUCCUUUAGCUUUGCGCAACUUAGAAAAGCUACUUUUAGAAGGAAAUUUGAUGGCAAAUUCAUAUCCUUGUGUACUUCUGAUGGACUAACCUUAUAAACUGAUCCGUAUCCCCCUUCGCCAAGAAGGUUAUUUGAACUGAAAUUUUCAGUAGCAGUCCUUAGUUCACCAUAACUGAGUACGUUAGGUCUUCCAACAAUACUGUACAGCUCUACAAACAUAGCCAAAAGACAACUUUAGAAAUAUGCCCCUUAUCUUGGUUAAGAUUUAAGAAUACACUGCGAUACUUGAUUAUGGCAUAUCAUGUACCUUGUUGCUCCAAUGCUAGUUUCCUCCUUUUCUGCCUCCACAUACAAAGUCCAGCAAGUGCUACUAGUACCAAAACUGCUGCACCAAUCACAACUCCAACAACUAUACCGGUUUUGUUACUACUAUUCUUAUGUGCAGCGCUACGCACUGUAGGUUUGAAAUCUGUCAGAAAGUGCACUAGUUAGAAAAAUGUGAUCUAACGGCUGAACCAGUACAUUUUACCUUACCCUUUUUAGGAGUUUUUCAAUAUUUACUAGUUUUUGUUUGAAGAGAGCGAAUUAUGUAUCCCGGGGUUCUAGCGCCCCCACUAACAAAAACAACAUGUUGUAAUGUUUCAAAAAUCUAAAAAAAUCAUGUAUUUAGCACACAUUAAAUUAAAUAAACCUGCAGAAAUUCAAUGUCAAAUUCAUCCUACAUGUCAGGGAAAAAUACGACUUGUGUUUUUUGAAUCUUGUUAUCAGAGAUGAAUUUAAAAUUGGAUUAUCAUAGUUUCACUAAUGGGGAUCAGAAUCAGAACCCCUGGUAACAAAUGAAUUUCCUAUAUCAGAAAGUGUGCAUGAGAACAUUCAGCAGAAAUCAGAAUGGAUAUGUACCACUAGACAUAAGUAUAUGUGUAUGCAUUCCUUCUAUCAUAAGCAUUUCUCAAAGUAGAAAUUAUAUAUGCAUCUUUUUACCCCAAGAAAAUUGUUUAAAAAGUAUUAAAACAAUGAUUUGUAGCUAAGGGGAGUACUUGGAGUUGCACUCAAAGCUGAAAUUGCAGGCCCAUAGUAGCCUUGACUAGGGAUGCAACAAGUGCCCUUGCCAGCCCAGAAAAGAUGAAUCUCAAGGAAGUUUCUGGUGACAGGAACAGUAUACUGCUUCUUGACAGCAGUGUAAGAUUUCCCGCCUGCUUCCUUUCUUAUGUCAAAGUUCUGCUCCUUACGCUCACCCUGUACCAAAAGCAAGAAAAAACAAUUAGAAAAUCUCAAUCAGCCCAUAAGCUAAAAACUCAAGUAAGUGUAAGUUAUCAGCAUGACUGGAACCUACCUGAACAUAGAUAUCAAAAACCCUUUUACCUAAACUCUUCCAGGUCUGCAUGUCUUCGAAGUCAAACUCUGCAAAUUGAAGUGUGACUGUAUAGUUUCCAUUCUCAAGUCCAAUGCCAUAGUAGCGUAAUGAUGAUGGAGACAUCCUUGCUGUCUGGAACAGUUCUGAAUCUAGAGUAUUCUGAAACUGGCGUGUGCUGUAGAUUAUGUAACUAUUAUUUGUUGCAUCCAUAAACCUCCCAACAUUGCUAACACCCCACGUUGGUGCUCCUGUAACAUAAUAGGAAGCAGGUCCCAGAUCGGCGCUGUCAGGCUGAUACAUGGAAUUAUCUGAGCCUGACAUAGAUCUCUGGCUCCCACAGUCCACAGCAAAGGAGGAAGCUGCAAGCAUGUUAAAUUAUUUAAUACUGAUGUUAUUUAGCGUAUCCUUAAAGUGCAAAAGUGGAAGCUCACAUUGUGGAGAGCCAAGAAAGCAGGGUGUGUCUCGCUGAAGGCACCCUAGCCCCGAAGGUAAGGCACUGAAGAUGUCAAACAUUGUCAAUUUGAAUCCAAAAUAUGAGCUGAGGCCUGAGAGAACAUAAAAAUUGUGCUUGAAGACUUUAAUGACCAAUUUGAAUACAAACUGACCUGUUAUUGGAGUUGUUGAUUACGAAAUUGUUCGCCACCAAAUUCCUAUGUAGAAUGAAACAUGCAAAAAAAGAUUAGAAGGCACUAUUGCGGAGAAUCAAGAGAAACCAAAGCAGGGACAAAAUUGAUUCAGUUUUUUAAGAUAAGCAGUAAGGUAAAGUACACAUCUGCUUGUUCAAAGAUUUUGAAUCAUAGAUGACGUCAAAUGCAAAAAGGAAAGAAAAAAAAGAAAAAAUAAAUAUGAUCUAGGUGCAGCAAAAGCAGCUUUUUAGAUGUAGUCGAUAUUAAAAAAAUGCUAGUUUAAUACAAGUGUAUGAUAUUGGAUUAUAGUAAUAGGGCUGAAUUUUUGGUCAGUUAAUCAGCUUGCAAAACUCAGCACUUACAAUUUCAAAUUCGGACUAACCCAGGAGGGAAAGUUUCCUGAUAGCUGGUUGUAGGAAAAGUCUCUACACAAAAGAAAGUGUGUAAAUGUUAUAGAUAAACGCCUUCCUGGUUUUACUUCACAAAUGAAAGUGGACAAACAUACAAGUUUUUAAGAGAAGUUCCUAUAGAACUUGGAAGGCUUCCUGAAAGACUAUUAUUCCCGAGAAACCUGGGCAGAUCAAAUUUGCGCAUUAGCAAGAUUGAUGAUCAUUGUCAUCAGAACCUAGAAAUAAGUAUCAGAAGGCAAGAUAAACCAUACAAGAAGCUGAGUGAAUUCAGAUUCAGCAGAGCUUGCGGUACUAGGCCAGUGAUAUUGUUAAAACUCAAAUCCCUGUAACAGUAGAACAAAUGAGACUAGGAGAGAAAGGGGUCAUCAAACAAUGCAUAAUCCACAGCAGUCCAUUAAAGCAUCUAGCAAAACAUGCAGUUGACUGGAGUUUAGGAAGAAACAAAAUGUCUUACAGUAGGGUUAAUGUUGCAAACUGUGAAAAGUUUACUGAUGCCAGGUUAUCAGAUAUCCUGCAGUUCCUCAAAACUCUGCAAUGAAACAUGUCAAGAGUUUUCGGAUUUAACAAUUGGUUACACUACAGAAAAUAUUAAGAUGUAGUUUGAGUCAUCAAAUGAAUGGCAAGUUAUGCAUACAAGGUGUUCAAAGAUGUCAUGUUACUGAUGAAUGCCAGUGAAGAACUUCCAUUUACUAUGUCACCUAUUCGUCUGCACCACAGAAAUAGAUAGUUCAUUCUUCCCAUCUGCAAACUUGAAAUUUAAGGAUGAUAGUACCUACUCUUUCCAUAAGUAGUCACUUACAAGUUUGUCAGUUCGACGAGAUUAGAAAGAGUGGUCGGAAGGGGACCUUGAAACGAAUUGCCUUGAAACCGCCUACAAAUUGAAAUUCUUGUUACUAUUUUUCAAGCAUCAUUUAUUUACCAAUGUGUUUACCUACUACCUAGUAAAGAAACAAGAAAGAUGGGACUUCUUAGGUAAAACAAGAAAUUUAUAAUGAAAAGCAUUAGAAAAAAGGUUCAAAGAUUACUAAUACUAGCAUCCAAAACGUAGCAUCGUAUUAUAAUGAAUAGUGAAACAAAAAGAUUUAAUAUUUACUAAUAUGAUAAUAACAGCUCACGCCUGACCUAAAUAAAUUAGUUAAGAGGCCACUAAAUGGAAAUCAGUAGAGUAAAAGACACAUACACUUUUCUUUCCUUUUUUUACUUGAACACACAGGAGAACUAUGUGCAUUGCAUUAAGAAGACGAAACUGUUGAAAAUUUAUAGCAGAUUUUCGAUCAUCACAUUCGUGCCCUUGAAUAUGUGGAUACUAUCAGACUUCUUGACUCUAUGCUCUAGUUGCUACUAAAGCCACUAAGUCCUUAGCACUGACAAGACACCAUAUGUGAGCUUCUUUCUCAGGCUCUCAGCAACCUGUAAUAGGCACUGGAGUGAAAGACCUAGACACUAAACCGAUGAACUCAUUUACAUAUGGCAACAAGUGAAGUAGGUAUAAAAUGAAUGUCCUACUUCAGUGCCAACUUAAGUUCUGAUAAAAAUAAAGAUUGACUUGUGGAGUGCUAUAGCUUGUUGUACCUGUACUAUUUGGCGUGAAAAAAAGGACCAAACAAUUAUGAAAAGGAAACAACAUAUGUUGCUAUUUUCAAUUAGGAAAUGAUUGCAAAUAAUGAAGAUUAAUUAAGAAAAAACUUACAGAUCUGUUAAAUUAGCCCAGUUCCCAAUAUAAUCUGGUAUUUGCCCAGUAAAAUCAUUAUCUGAUGCCCACCUGAACACAAAGAACAAUAACAAAUAAGAUUGAGUGGCAUGGAACAGUACAGUCAACAAAACAUCUCUUAUAUGCAUACAAUGUUUUCAUUCUUGUAAGACUAGAAAGCGAUGAUGGUAAGGGACCACUUAAGCCAGCGCUAUCAAUAUACCUGCAAUUAAGAGAUGCAAAUAUAAGCACAGAAAUAAGGAGCCGACUAAUUCAAGCAAACAAUUCUACGAAAGAAAUAUAUAGUGCCCAAAACAAGUUAACACGCACAGCUGCUCAAGUUUAACCAAAUUCCCUAGUUCCAACGGAAGGGAACCAUUUAAGUUGUUUGAGCUAAAGGACCUGAAACCCACCAAAAAAAAUAUAGGUUAAUCACAAAAAAUGAGAAAUAUCUAUUCCUAGAAGCAUAAUUUCUGGCAGAAAGCUACAUUUCUAGACAGUGGUUAAUCAGUUCAAGGAAUGAAGAUGUUAAGUAGAAAUCUCUAACCUUUCCUAGUGAAAUACAGUGAUACAAGAUUAGUAAGGUUCCACAUUACAAAAAUUUAUUUCUUACAGCGAUACGAGAUUGGUAAGGUUCCCGAGCUCCUUCGGAACAGAUCCGGAUAAUGAAUUGAUGCCCAGACUCCUGUGUAUUGAACAGAAUGAGAUGAUGUUUUGAUGUUAAGCAAAAACAUGUAAUGUAAUAACGGUUUAAGAUUUAAAUCUCACAUGUACUGCAUAGCAGUCAAUUUCCCGAGGAACGAUGGUAAAGGCCCUGUUAAGUAAUUUUGUGCUAAGUUCCUGAAACAACAUCAGAAAAGAUAUUAACAAAGAUUAAAGUUGGCUCAUCAUGUUUGAAUUUGGGUGUAAUGUUGGAAUAUCUUCAUAAAGAAAUAGGCAAUAGGCAUCAGCUAUUUACAAAGUCCCCCAAAAACCACAAUCCACAAGUAAAAGUCCUAUUGGACCCUUCAGGUACAAUGCAAGAAAGUUGAGAGUUCAUACAGAUUAGUCAAACGCGUGAGGUUCUGUAGUUCUGCUGGUAUCGCACCAACCGCAUUCAGCGCAUAUAUUUUCCUGCAAGUGAGCAAAGUCAAGUAAAAGGACCGUCAGCUCACACUAUCUCAAUUUAACCAUCAUCAUCGUUGUUCGUCAGAUAUAAACACCAGCAGGCGUAUGGAGCACCGCUGAAUCCUCUUGCUAGCACUUUUCAGAUACAGAGGUAACGACGUACUAGCACAGCGAGGCGGACGCAUCGCAUACCCAAAGGCUCGGUACAAACAGCGAAACCUCCGGCAGGCCAUCCGUCGAACACCUGCCGUGCGGAGCGGCAAGACGUGAGCUCUGAGUUGGCGACUUACAGCUUUGUGACGUGGCAGACGGUGUUGUUCUGGCCGGAGCACUCGCACUUGAUGGCCGGGUUGAAGUUCAUGUCUGAGUCGAUGUUGGUGCCGUCCGUGGCGGCGCCGGUGCAGGGAUCGCCACUGAUGUUCCAUGCCGACGACGCCGUCUGGCCGAGCUUGGCGAACACCGCAUUCACCGCCGCCGCUGCAAAACCGAAAACGGGUUCACACUUCACACACAUCCCAAAGACCCAAACCAACGGCAAAAACGACUACCCGCUAAUCGACCGUCCGAUGGCCCGGUCCCGUGGCGAUCGGACGGCCAGGGAUCAGGACCCACGCUGACAUGGCGGAGCCGACCAAGCCAAGUCUGAAUUUUAUGGUGGGCAAGCAAAAGGCGAAACACGAUAUCGAUAAGCUUGGCGCGGUUGACCUUCCAACCGAGACGUUUGGAACGAGCUUGUUUAUUGGAAAUUUGGAACAGAGGUCAGAGGGGGUAGGUGAUCUCUGGAAUCAGGCAGGAGUAGCUAGAAGAACAGAUCAUGUUUGCAAACUUCAAAGAAAAAUGGACAUUCCAUGAAAGAAAAAAAAUUCAGAAGCUUUCUUGAGAGUCAGAGCAUGAGAGGGCACACAGAGCAAAAGAGAUGAGCAGAUGAAGGAGGUGACGGAUGGGUUAAUCGGACAGCUCGAUCGGAAAGCCGGUUAAUUGCAUGGUGGCUCCAGAGCAGGAGAAGCCAUCACAGAGGAGCAAAAACAGAGAUGAAUAAUGAAGUGGUAGUUUAUCAUUCCGAAAGCAGAUGAAGGCAGGGAGACGAUCGAUGGAUUUGAUGCAAGCUGAUUUGAAACCCCCUCGCUAAUCUGAAAGAAAGAACUGGAGACAUGCACGCUCACCUUCAACCGGAUCGGUCCUUGUCCUCGCUUGCUGAGCUUGCGCAGAUGCAGCUAGAAGAAGCAGCAGCAGCAGCAGCAGCAACGUCGGGAGCGCAGCAGAGCCAUGGCGGCACGAACAGCUGGGUCCAGGCCUCCUCAUCUCCUUUCCCUCUCUCUGGCCUCGAGCUCGAGAUUGGCUGCCCCUUCCGAGGCCGAGCGGGAUAUAUGGUAACCUGAUGGAGACUCGGAUGGCGACUUGUCUAAGGGCCCCGCCGCCGCGGCGGACACAUGCACCUCCCUCGACGCUGCGCCACCAUGCAAGGAUGGCGCAACUAGGGAAUUUUCUAUGGUCAAGUGGCGCCACUGCUCUGUCCAAGACUCCAAGCACAGUGGACGCGACGGGCCAACAACUACCUCCAGGCUCCCACAUGGAAGCAGAGCCGAAGGCGAUCGACGACGACGG